rnacentral:rRNA from 1 species
UACGUAGGUGGCAAGCGUUGUCCGGAUUUACUGGGCGUAAAGAGCGCGCAGGCGGUCGUUCAAGUCGCGUGUGAAAGCCCCCGGCUCAACUGGGGAGGGUCACGCGAUACUGAUCGACUCGAAGGCAGGAGAGGGAAGUGGAAUUCCCGGUGUAGUGGUGAAAUGCGUAGAUAUCGGGAGGAACACCAGUGGCGAAGGCGACUUCCUGGCCCUGUUCUUGACGCUGAGGCGCG